UGGGGAAUAUUGCACAAUGGGCGAAAGCCUGAUGCAGCAACGCCGCGUGAGUGAUGAAGGCCUUCGGGUUGUAAAGCUCUGUCUUUUGGGACGAUAAUGACGGUACCAAAGGAGGAAGCCACGGCUAACUACGUGCCAGCAGCCGCGGUAAUACGUAGGUGGCAAGCGUUGUCCGGAUUUACUGGGCGUAAAGGAUGCGUAGGCGGAUAUUUAAGUGAGAUGUGAAAUUCCCGAGCUUAACUUGGGAGCUGCAUUUCAAACUGGAUAUCUAGAGUGCGGGAGAGGAGAAGGGAAUUCCUAGUGUAGCGGUGAAAUGCGUAGAGAUUAGGAAGAACACCAGUGGCGAAGGCGAUUCUCUGGACCGUAACUGACGCUGAGGCAUGAAAGCGUGGGUAGCAAACA
rnacentral:rRNA from 1 species